rnacentral:rRNA from 1 species
GACGUAGGGCGCGAGCGUUGUCCGGAUUUAUUGGGCGUAAAGAGCUCGUAGGCGGCUUGUUGCGUCGGCUGUGAAAACCCGCGGCUUAACUGUGGGCCUGCUUCCGAUACGGGCGGGCUAGAGUUCGGCAGGGGAGACUGGAAUUCCUGGUGUAGCGGUGAAAUGCGCAGAUAUCAGGAGGAACACCGAUGGCGAAGGCAGGUCUCUGGGCCACUACUGACGCUGAGAAGCGAAAGCGUGGGGAGCGAACAGG